AUUUUCAAGUUAAAGAUAGACACUGUACACACCAGGAUCCAGAAGCUGGAUUUUAAACUCGCGCCUCUCCCCAGCAUUUCACAGAGUCCUGUUGCCAUCUCUGCUGUAAUUAACCGUUUGAUUGAGGUUUCUUCUUUAAGUGAAUGUGCUAAGAAUUCGUAUACGUUCGGGAUGUGCUGGAGUUAAAAGGAUUUGAGAGAUCAUGGUGUGCGUACGCUAGGGUAAGUGAGAUUUACCAGCUCCUGGAUGAAGUGCUUGGGAAGCCUUUAAAUGCCACAGUCAACUGCCAUUUCAAAGGAGAGAAAACAGAUGGUUUUGGAAAGUUCAUGCUGUUCCUUCACUGAAUUUUAGAAUGAUCGAAGAUAGUGGGAAAAGAGGAAAUACCAUGGCAGAAAGAAGACAGCUGUUUGCAGAGAUGAGGGCUCAAGAUCUGGAUCGUAUCCGACUCUCCACCUACAGAACAGCAUGCAAGCUUAGGUUUGUUCAGAAGAAAUGCAAUUUGCACCUGGUGGACAUCUGGAACGUCAUAGAAGCAUUGCGGGAAAAUGCCCUGAACAACCUGGACCCGAACAUGGAACUCAGUGUGGCCCGCCUGGAGGCCGUGCUCUCCACCAUUUUUUACCAGCUCAACAAAAGGAUGCCGACCACUCACCAAAUCCAGGUGGAGCAGUCCAUCAGCCUCCUGCUUAACUUCCUGCUGGCAGCCUUUGAUCCGGAAGGCCAUGGUAAAAUUUCAGUAUUUGCUGUCAAAAUGGCUUUAGCCACGUUGUGUGGAGGGAAGAUCAUGGACAAAUUAAGAUAUAUUUUCUCAAUGAUUUCUGACUCCAGUGGAGUGAUGGUUUAUGGACGAUACGAUCAGUUCCUUCGCGAAGUUCUCAAACUACCCACGGCCGUUUUUGAAGGUCCUUCAUUUGGAUACACAGAACAGUCAGCUAGAUCCUGUUUCUCUCAACAGAAAAAAGUCACCUUGAACGGUUUCUUGGACACGCUCAUGUCAGAUCCUCCCCCACAGUGUCUGGUCUGGCUGCCCCUUCUGCAUCGACUGGCAAAUGUUGAAAACGUCUUCCAUCCGGUCGAGUGUUCCUACUGCCACAGUGAGAGCAUGAUGGGGUUUCGCUACCGAUGCCAGCAGUGCCACAAUUACCAGCUCUGCCAGGACUGCUUCUGGAGGGGGCACGCCGGCGGUUCCCAUAGCAACCAGCACCAAAUGAAAGAGUACACGUCCUGGAAAUCCCCCGCUAAGAAGCUAACUAAUGCAUUAAGCAAAUCUCUGAGCUGUGCUUCCAGCCGUGAACCCUUGCACCCCAUGUUCCCUGACCAGCCUGAGAAGCCGCUCAACUUGGCCCACAUCGUGCCGCCCAGACCUGUCACCAGCAUGAAUGACACCCUGUUCUCGCACUCUGUCCCCUCCUCAGGAAGUCCUUUUAUUACCAGGAGCUCUCCUCCCAAGGACAGUGAAGUAGAGCAGAGCAAACUGCUGGCUAGGGCUGCUCCAGCUUUGCUGAAGGGCAGAGGGAUACAGUACAGCCUGAGUGUGGCAGACAGGCUGGCCGACGAACAUGUUCUCAUUGGGUUAUAUGUCAGCAUGCUCCGGAACAGCCCAUCAUGUAUGCUCGAGAGCUCCAACCGGCUUGACGAGGAGCACCGGCUGAUCGCCAGAUACGCGGCAAGACUGGCGGCCGAGUCCACUUCAUCCCAGCCGGCUCAGCAGAGAAGUGCUCCUGACAUCUCCUUCACCAUUGACGCAAACAAGCAACAAAGGCAGCUGAUCGCAGAGCUAGAAAACAAGAACAGAGAAAUCUUACAGGAGAUCCAGAGGCUUCGGCUCGAGCACGAACAAGCUUCUCAGCCCACGCCAGAGAAGGCGCAGCAAAACCCCACUCUGCUAGCGGAACUCCGGCUCCUCAGACAGCGCAAGGAUGAGCUGGAACAGAGAAUGUCUGCUCUCCAGGAGAGCCGGAGAGAGCUAAUGGUCCAGUUGGAAGGUCUCAUGAAGCUACUAAAGGAAGAAGAAUUGAAGCAGGGAGUAAGUUAUGUCCCCUACUGCAGGUCUUAACUAACAGUGGAGGGGCCUGCCGUCCUGCUGUUUUUCUCAUUGCUUUUGCCUCUAAUGUAUGUUCAUGCUUCAGUUUGGAAAGAGAAAAAAAAAUUACUAAUUUGCUUCCUUUUCAAUGUAGUGCUUGAAUUGAGACGUAUACAAUUUAGCAUUUUUUUUGUAACUAUUACUACUGUCAGCAUCAAAAGAAGAGCUAUUACAUCUUCUAGAAGAGGGAACAAAAACAUUAAUUUGUUGGAAACUUUUUAGAUCUCCAGGGGUCUAGGUUUCAAGCCAGUCUCACGCUUUUCUGGGUUGUUGAUCAGACCCUUCUCGUAAUAGAAAGACACCCACCCCAGUUACACUAGGUAAAACCCACAGCACUCAGAUGCUAACCUUGACAUCUUCUCAUGCUGAGAAUAUUCAGUUCAGUUUCCAUUUUACUGAAAAAGUUAUGGAACCUCUUUUUGUAAAAAUCAGCCAAUUACAUCUCUUUUCAUUGCAUACUUAUUAAGCCCUGCUCCCCGCUGCUCACCGUAAGGUGUCCAGUCUAAUAAAAGAAAGACUAUGCUUGGUAACUGUUCACUUCCUGUUGUUACGUUCUUCCCGAAGCAGAAUCCCUACCAUUAGUUGACAGUAAUCUCCAAAGACUAGGUAACUUUCAGCCUUUCUCUUAUCACCAAGCACUUUUUGCUCUGGGAGUUCAUAAGCUGUUACCUACAUACAGUUGUUUCCCUGGGAAUAGGAGCCUUGUGACUCUCUCGCUGUAAACUGAACUGUCUGACCACGUGGCCAGGUGCAGAAGCCAGCAGAGGGAGCAGCGUACUCAAAAUAUAGUAGUAAUGAAACGAAAGCAAAAUAAAAGCAGCUUUCAUUUCAAGUGCAUGUCCCAAGCUGCGUAUGACAACAUGUCCCACUUGUGGACAUUCUUUCCAUGGAUCGAUCAGAACCACAGCCUGUCUGAUUUCAGCGUACCUUUUACUUCUUCUGUAUUCUCUUUCCUAUUAUUCAUUGUGUGUGUUUGUGUGUUACAAAGAAUGUUUGCAAAAUGCUGGACACAUUUUUAUCCUUCAUUCCCCACCCCACCUCCCCGCCCGUCUGUAAAAAAGGAAAGUGUAAAAUGAAUCUGUAAUGUCAGACAAUAAAGACAAUGUAUUACAUUAUUUGUAUUUUGUGAAAAAAAAAUCACUUCACUUAACUGAAGUCAAAUUUAAUGAGCAAACAGUCCCCCUGGGUAAAGGACACGCAUUUGCUGCCUGUGUAAUUGCCCAUAAACGUGUACGUGGGAUAUUGCGAUUGUACGUCCAACACACUUAGAUCAUGUAAAGAAAAAUGCCAUCUCAUGGUGCUUCUCUGCAAACAGCCUCUUUUCUUUCCUGUCUCUUACUCAGCAUGUGCAUAGAAAAAGGAAAUAAGGCUCAAAUAUAACCUUCCUCCUCCUAGUGGAGACAGCAACCAUCCUGUAGUCAGCCUGGCUUUAGCCGGUUCCCCUGGGGACCCCUUCUCUACCAUUUCCAAGGCAACACAUUCUUGAAAGGCUCAGUGGACCAGGAAGUUCAUAAACAGAUGGAUGCAUAAAGCCAAACCACAGCAGCGCCCGUAAGAGCCUUACAGCCGCCUUUCCUUCCAGCCCCUCCCCACGGAGCCCACCACAGCGGCCACAUCUUUGUCAGCUGGCCAGCAGUGGGUACCACUGCAUAGGUACUUAAGGGCCAUUAUUGGUAACACCCAGAUGUCAUCAAUGCCUUAUCUGGGUGGGGAGAGUGUUUGCUGGUCUUUCUCCUUUAUUUGCUUAUAUAUUCAAGCCUCUUUUCAAAAAAGGACCCAAGGCAGCUGACGAUAAAAGAAACAAUGACUUCGUGAAAUAGAAAUAGAAAAAUCAAGAACUAAAGAAAAUGCAAAUAUGCUCAUCACAAGGGACCAGGGUGUUCCUGUGAGCUUUCUAGCAAUGAGGCAAAGAAAAGGGAAAACAUAAUUGGCAGUUUUAUCAGAAUGGAAAUGCCAGUUUUUCAAAAGACCCAAAUUUCUGUUGGCAUAAGUGAUAAAAAGAAAGUUUUCACUCAGAGGAGUAGUGAAUGAUGAAAUGGACAAUAUGGUAGUAGAUCUCGUGUGGCUGAUUUUUAUACUGACCCUCAGUCGAAAUUAAAGACAGAACCCCAUAUGUCCCAAUCUUGUAGGGGCAGAAUUCUACAAGGAAAUAAACAAAUGCCGUCCAAAUUUAUAGACUUCUCAUGGUAUAACAUGAUCUAAGGAGAGAAUUUAGAGGUCUCAGUCUGGCAUCUGCUUCUAAAUUCUGGUUCUAUUUAUGAGCCUUUCCCCUUUGGGGACAUUCUCUUUGUAAAAAUCAGAUUUAAGACACCACACACAACAAGCUGCUUGAUUUAAUAGCCUCUACUUGCUUUAUCAUGAAAGUCUGUGUGGUUCAAUGUAUUUUAUUAUACUGGUAUAUAUAAUUCCUACUUAUACUGUUUCUUGUUAGAGGUAAUGCAUGAAUUUAUUCCCCUUGAGGAGAGAACAUGAAUUAAAAAAAAUAGUGCCUGUAAUAUAAUAUGAUGAUUAUGGUAUCAUAAGCAAUAAAUUUUUUUAACAAACCUUGAAUCGAAAUUAUCCUACCCUCUUUCUUCUUUGUGUAUUUUUAAGAUUUAUUGAAGGAGCCGUAAAAAGAACACUCAUAAAAAGUUUAAUAAUGAAGGCGGCUGGGAUGUAAUAGCAGUGAUGAUACAUUCCAGAGUUUCUGGUAUACCUCCAGUGCCAAACAGUAUGACCCGGUCUAAAACCAAAUAUCCUGACUCUUUGAGUUCAGGAAAUAGGGUCCAAAUAAUAAUUCUCUUAGAAAGACUACUGGAGUUAGACCUGAGUUAUAACGGUCCCAGCUCUUCACUCACAGCUGUAAGAUCUUGAGUAAGUCAAUUAACUUCCUAGUAACUUAUUUCCAACACGCUGAUAAUACAUGGCUCACAGAGUUUUGUAGAUUUAAAAAGAUGACUGGUGCGGAAGCACUUUGUAAAAUGCUACAUGCCUGUCAGAUACAAGUGUCCAUGUAUGUAUGUAUAUAUGUGUAUACACACACACACGGGAAUCUAUCCGCUUGUCUAAUUUGACUCAUAUUUUACAUGCACGCACGCACACACACACACACACACAUAUACACACACACGCACGUAGGCAUUCACUUCUCUUCCAUACAUUAACUAGCAGUGCCUCCAAUCGGGGAGAGAGUCAAAGGUCAGCCAAACUCCAUCUCUUCUUCUCUUCUGUAUUUCCAACUGGGUGGCUCAGGCUCCUACUUCUUCUGUGGAAUAUAAUAAACAAGCCAGAAAUGACAGCUUUUCCCCGGUUUAUGUUCACCUUCCAUUAUUUCCCCUGCUCAUCCUCUCUGGUGGGUAUUCUGUGUCGUGAAGCAAUCAAAAGUGAGAGGGGUGGGGGUAAUUAGUGUCGGAAAUAAUCACCCUGCAAUUCUAGGACUAAGAUUUCAUGUUCAAAAACCUACCCUCCCAGUCUCUCUCUCUCUCUCACUCAUUCUCUCCUUCUCUCUCUCUCUCUCUCUUUCUCCCUCUCAUGCCUUUUAAAAUUAGGAAUUGGUUAAUUAAUUCUAGAAAAGUAAAAAUUUCUUCUCUGUUUAAAAAACCUUAGAAAAUGACCCUCCAGUUCAGGAUAAAGGCUAAGCGCCUUUGAUGACCCUAGAGGCCCCCAAACCUGGCCCCACCCCUGCCCAGCCUCACCCCGCUCCACUCCCCACACUGGCCUCCCACUGUAUCAACCACACUGGCUCCGCAGUGGGUCUGCAGGACCCCCACCCCACCCCGAGCCUUGCCCACCAUAAUGCUCUUCUAAGCCCUGCGAUGCUUCCUCUUUUCUGCCUGGAAGUCUCCACUGUAAGACCCAAGUCAAAUGACGCCUCCUGCCUGGCCAGUCAGAAUUAGUCACCUCGUCUGUAGCCCCACAGCAAACCCAAUGGUGGUCAGUAAGUGCACACUGGAAGAAGGGAUGAAAAAGAGGGUUGAAUGUGGCCAAACACCGCUUUGCUGCACGCUCCCAGGCCGCUGGGUAAAACCAGGCCUGACGACGCCGCGUUCGCCACCAAACCCCAGAGGCUGACUUUCGGGAAGGGGGCACCUGGUUAGGGGAGGGUCCCUUCCACCACCCACUCCUGUCUCACAGUCCUCUGCUCUGCCCUUUCUCCAGGCAGUGCUGGGUCCACAAUUAGAUAGACCUUCAGCCCUUUCUUUGAAGCAUUCCCUCCUCCUUUCUGGUGCUGAGUGGAAACCCAAAUCCUUCCCGGGGAAAAAAAAAAAAAUCCGAAAAUUUAUGGAUCUUGUCAGACUUUUUAAAAAUUGAUAUAACAGCAGGUUGACUGGACUCCGAGAAUGGAGGGUGGAAAUGAAUUUUUCAUUUAUUCUCUAGGAAGAGAGCUAUUUUAAAUUUGCCAAGGGUGAUGUAUGUUUUCCUUCUGCCAUAAAUCAACCCUCUUCUCAGGAAUUUUAGAUCUAUAUAUUGAUCAGCAUGGACCGUUGUCCCUUAAGUCUUCUGCUCCAUUAAUCAUCGAGUAAUUUCCAGGAAAGGAGGCUCGCAGUGAUCAUUCACUCCACCAUGCUUCAUGGCCAGGCCAGAGGCCACUGUUCUCUAGUGGCUGCUGCCUGUGACAAUGAAACUCCGUGACGUCUUCACCAACCUACCCCAAGCCCAGGAGGCAAUUGCCUUUCCCUAGUGGUCCUCCAGGAACAGCAGGAAAGAAAGCCAGAGAUGGCGCUCCCAGCAGUAAGUCUACCACGCAUCAAUCUGGGCAGUGUUCUGACAAAGACAGAUGGGGCCCUGAUCGCCCAGGGAGCCAGGGUUGCCCCCACUCCACGUCUGGGUAAAAAGUGGAUGUGACUGGGGAGUUACAGAUUGUGGGAAAGAUGCAGCUGAGUCUUUGCUUCAGCACAGAAUCUUCCACCUAAAUUGUUCACGUAAUCAGACUGCUUGAAAUUGCACCAAUGAGAAAUUCAUUUAGGAGCUGGUGGCUGUUAGUCAUUCACACGUUGGUAUAAUUUAGACCCGGUCAAGUGGUCGGUUUCCCUUAAUAUAUCACCACAGUCCAUCAUGUCACUUCUAUCACAAGACCACAAAUAGGAGUUUUGAAGGCCAGAAGCAGACAGAAAGAAAUAGGAAAAGUUUGGAGACAGGGUGUUAGGCAGGAAGAGGUGGGGCUGGGCAUGCCUCAGAUAAACAGUUAGCAGGAGAGCCCGGCAGGCAUGCAGAGGGGAAGGCAAGAGCAUUGCCAGAGGUAAGAGGCUCACAGAAAGGAAGGGCAGAAGGGCCGGUGUGGUGCCCAAAGGGGAGGGGGCGGCCCCAUGUGCACCCUGCGCUAGAGAGCCGGGCCGAACAGGUGCGAGCAGGGCUGGUGUGAGCACAGCCAUCACAUGUCGAAAGGCAGGCCCGCAGCCCCAUCUCUGCAAUCACUGGGUCCAGAUGUGCUCCAGAAUCCAAAACCAUGGAGGCUUUAGAAAUGCAAAUACAGUGCAGACACCACGUAAGUAGCCUCACAUCAGUUAUGAAACAACACGUGUGGCUCUGGAUUUCACAUUUGCAGAGAAAUGAGAACCUAUGGGCCUAUAUUUUCUGUACUGAUUGAUGAACAGCCCAAAGGCUGUUUCUCUCCCCUGGGCACUCACAUGGCCCCCCAUGACCCAGUAACUAGAAGGUACUGCCUGCCCUGGCAGGAAGCCUCAGGCCGAUGCCUGACACCCCUCCCUGGUGUGCCCAUGCCCUAGACCUUAUGUCUUCCCAUCGCUAAACCUUUCUACUGGAGUAAAGCAUAGAUGGAAACAUGUGAUGGUUGGUCACUGGGCCUGAGAUCCUGAUCCAGCUGCGGUGCCAUGGGAAGGCCCUGGUCUUGUAGCCUAAAGGUGGGGGAUCCAUUUUCUCCCCAUCAUUCACUAGCUCAGAGACCUAGAGCAACCUAAUUAGCACCACUGAGCCUCAGUUUGCUAACCUGAAAAAUGGGAGUAAUAAUACAUCCUAGGCUUGUUGUGAAGUAGUUGGGAUUAAAGUGCUGUCCAAACUGCACGUUGCUGUUCAGAUACAAGCUACUAUCACUCUUAGCGCUGAUUAGUGAGAGAAUAAAACAAAACAAUGUAUGUAAAUGUGCUUUAGACACUGAAAAUUACAUACAAAAGUGGAGUUUUGCUUUUUUUAUUUUUAAUUUUGGUACGGGAGGUAAUUAAGUUUUUAUUUAUCUUUGAUGGAGGUACUGGGGACUGAACCCAGGACUUCAUGCAUGCUAGGCACGCGCUCUACCACCGAGCUAUACCGCCCCCCACCAAAAGUAGAAUUUUGUUAUUAUUAUUGUGAACCUCUCAUCACAGAAGAGAAUCUGGCUUCCAGAGCUGAGAGGGUAACCUACACUGUGUAGCCAAGAGGAGCCUUCUUCCUUCAACUCCUCUGCCCAAAGCCUCAUCCCCUGUCCCACCUCCCUGCUGCACCUGGUUCCUUGGUAAAGAGGACAGGUAAGAAAGGGCAAAGGGCCCCGCUGAGGACCCUGCCUGGAAAAGGAUGCACAGGAGCGGCUGCCAGGGAGGGGGCGGCCCCUGACCUCAGGGUACCUGACCAACACUUGUCUCCUUGGAGGGACCCUCCAGCAGCCAGAGCCCAUCCUGUGUGGAGGCAGAGCACCUGGACUCAGGCUCCAGCCCGGACUCUCUAGCGCCAUCUCCUGGGCAGUUCUUUUCACCUCUCUGAGCUGUGAGAUCAACAACCGCACAUUUAGCGUAAGGGGACCUACUUCAGUGGGUCGCGGAGAGAAAUCAGUGAGGACAGACAUGAAAAGCUUUCCUACAUGGCGAAAAGAGUCCCAUGCGAAGUCACUUAUCACUGGCGUGGGAAGCAGAGAAAUGGCCGGGUAGCGCAGCCGCAGAGGUUUCGUGGUGAUGACACGGAGCUGCCAAAGUUCGCGGGGGGAAAACCAGACCCGUCCUCGAGCAGGCUGGGUCUAGCAGGCUGCGAAGCGUCGCCAGCGGGCAAACUUCUCUUCCUGGGGCCGGGACUGGCCAUGCCAAGACCCAGGGGCCAGGUUCUCCCCGCUCCUCCCCCAGCCACACCAUCAGCCGGCCCAUCCCCACGCCCGUCCGCUCCGCGUCCGCCUGCUCCACCCCGACGCACGCGCCUCAGGACUCGCUCACAGGGGUGGGGGGCGA